UACGGAAGGGGCAAGCGUUGUUCGGAAUCAUUGGGCGUAAAGGGCGCGUAGGUGGUUCUGUAUGUCUACCGUGAAAGCGUACGGCUCAACCGUAUUUUGUCGGUGGAAACUGCAGGACUUGAGGCUGGGAGGGGCUGGUGGAAUUCCCUGUGUAGCGGUGAAAUGCGUAGAGAUGGGGGAGAACACUCGUGGGGAAGGGGGCCCCGGGGUUGGAUACUGACGCUGAUACGCGAAAGCGUGGGGGCAAACAGG
rnacentral:rRNA from 1 species